GCAUUUGAGAGCUCCAUUUGCUCUCUCUCCGAUGAUCUCUCUCUGCAUUUCUCUGUUUCUCUCUGUGUUCAUAAGUUCAAUGUUUCAGUGAGAAAUUUCGUCGGAGGGCUUCACCGACGAGAGUUGUAGAGUGCUGAUUCAGUUGGGGAUUUCCUUUUCAUCGACUUGGCGUUCGAAGAGUUCAAUUCCUGUAGGGAGUCUUUGCUUCUCAAGGUUACCUGGCUAAAAGUUCAAUGGUUGAGAGUUCAGAUGAGGAUUCAGACAUAAGUGAGUCUGAGAUAAAUGAAUAUGGAGACAAGUCUUAUGAAAAGCUGAAGUGUGGGGAUCCCAAGGUGAAAAUCUCAAAUGACACUUACAGGUGCCCUUUUUGCUUGGGCAAGAGAAAGAGAGAGUACCUUUACAAGGAACUCCUCCAACAUGCUUCUGGGGUGGGUAAAGGUUCGAGUACCAGGAGUGUCAAGCAGAAGGCAAACCAUCUGGCAUUGGCAAAAUUUAUGGAAAGAGAUAUAGCCCCUGAAGGCUCUCUGUCGCAGCAUGUGGCCGUAUCUGAACCUCCGAGUGGUCGCGACAAUGAUGUAUUUGUUUGGCCUUGGACGGGAAUUGUGGUUAAUAUUCCAACUGAUUACAAGGAUGGACGAUAUGUGGGGGAAAGUGGUUCGAAGCUGAGAGAGCAGUUUAUACGGAGAGGAUAUAACCCUGUAAGGGUCCGUCCUUUGUGGAAUUAUCGGGGUCAUUCAGGGACUGCCAUAGUGGAGUUCAACAAAGAUUGGCCUGGAUUUAACAAUGCAAUGUCAUUUGAGAAGGCUUAUGAAGCUGAUCAUUAUGGGAAAAGAGAUUGGUAUGGAAGGAAACACAAAGGGUCUAGUUUAUAUGCAUGGGUUGCUCGUGAAGAUGACUAUAAAUCUGGAGGUAUUAUAGGGGAGGAACUCCAAAAAAUUGGAGAUUUGAAAACCAUUUCUGAUAUUGUGGCAGAAGAAGAACGGAAGAAGAAGAAACUUGUUUCAAAUCUUACCAAUGUUAUUGAAAUCAAGAAUAAGCACUUGAAAGAAAUGGAAUGCAAAUUCACUGAGACUUCUUUGUCUCUUGGCCGUUUGAUGGAGGAGAAGGAUGAGCUACAUCAAGCAUAUAAUGAAAAGAUACAAAAAAUGCACCAGGAUGCACAGAACCAUAUCCAGAGAAUUUUUCAGGAACACCAAAAACUUAAGGGAAAUUUAGAUUCUCAGAUGAAGGAGCUAGAGCGGCGUGGCAAGGAGUUAGAGAAGCGGGAGGCUCAAAAUGAAACUGAAAGAAGAAAACUACAGGAAGAUAGGGACAAGAACGCAAUGAGAAACAGUUCCCUUCAAAAGGCAACACUCGAGCAGAAGAAGGCUGAUGAAAAUGUGCUGAAGCUGGCAGAUGAUCAUCAGAGGCAAAAAGAAGAACUCCACAAGAGAAUAAUUCAAUUAGAAAAGCAACUGGAUGCCAAACAGGCACUAGAGUUGGAAAUAGAACGAUUGAAGGGGACAUUGGAAGUGAUGAAACACAUGGGGGGUGACGAUGAUGCAGAAGUCCAGAAAAAGAUGGAGUCAAUGAAGCAAGAGCUGGAGGACAAGGAAGGAGAUUUGGACGACCUUGAAUCACUCAACCAAACUCUUAUUGUGAAGGAACGCAAAAGCAAUGAUGAGCUGCAAGAUGCUCGUAAGGAAUUAAUUAAUGGGUUGAAAGAAUUGUCAGGUCGUGCUCAAAUUGGAGUGAAGAGAAUGGGAGAUCUCGACAACAAACCAUUUAUUGAUGCCUGCAAGAAGAAAUAUUCUGCUGAAGAAGCAGAGGAAAAGGCUGUAGGUCUGUGUUCAGAGUGGGAUGAGCAAAUCAGAAUACCAGAAUGGCACCCCUUCAAGAUCAUCAUUGCUGAUGGGAAACAUCAGGAAAUAAUCGAUGAAGAGGAUGAAAAACUGAAAAGCUUGAAGAAUGAUUUGGGUGAUGAGGUUGUCAAGGCCGUUACGACAGCGCUGAAGGAGGUGAAUGAGUACAAUCCAAGCGGAGGGUACAUCACAUCUGAGCUGUGGAAUUUCAAAGAAGAAAGGAAAGCUACACUUAAAGAAGGAGUUUCAUUUAUACUGAAACAGUGGAAGUUCUAUAAGCGCAAGAGGUGACCUAAGACUGGAUGGAAGGCAUAUCUUGGCCCAGCCUGCUGAUGAUUAUUUGGGCCUAGUGUGAAUAAAAUAUCUGUGCUACUCUGAAGUUGACCUAACGUAUAUGGAGAUCAUAUGAAAUGUAUUCUCUGCUGUUGCAUGACUUGGCCGGGUACCAGUAUGCCACAGAAGAAUUUGGUGGCAAGGAUUGUUGGACAGGAGGAUAAAGAGUAGAUAGAGACAGGUGCCUCUAUAGUAGCCUUACUGUGACUUGUCAAAUUUGGUAGCUUACUCAACUGGCUGCAAAUCCUGUGAAGAUUCUUUUUAUUUUUUAUUUUUUAUGAGAUUCUGUUCUUGGACACCAUUAUGUGGGUACAGCAUAUCCCUCUUUUACUUUUUCUCUGAAAUCUAGGGUGGAAGAUCCUUAGUGUGUUCGAGGUCUGAAGCCAAAAAUUACUAGUAGUGUUCUGAAUGAAGGAUAUGUGAAGAAGGUCUAUUGGUAAACUUACUCUUUGAAUUGAAAUACGAAACUUCUCUAACA